AAGUCGUAACAAGGUUUCCGUAGGUGAACCUGCGGAAGGAUCAUUAUGAAUCAGUAGCUUGCUACUAUGCUGGGUAGACGGGAAAGUCCUAGCUGAAAAGCUAGAGUGCCGGUACCUGUACCCCUAUCAUACCCUUGUCUUUUGAGUACUUAUGUUUCCUUGGUAGGCUUGCCUGCCAAAAGGACAAACUUGAAACCUAUUUAAAUAUCAAUCAGCGUCUGAUAAUAAAUUAAUGAAUUACAACUUUCAACAACGGAUCUCUUGGUUCUG
rnacentral:misc_RNA from 1 species